UCCGCCCCCCCGCGCGACCACCUCGCCCCCGCUGGGUCGCCACCAGCCCUCCGGCCACCUCGCCCCCGCCGUGCUGCUGCCGCCCCCCAGCCACCUCGCCAACCACCUCACCCAACAGGACAUGUGCUUGCCCCCGCGCUCCUCCUCUUGCAUCUGUCUCCAACCACCGGCCACCACUGCACCCAUCCCCUCCUCCCAGCAGUCGUGUGCCAUCCCCUGCCCCUCCUCAUCUGCGCCUCUCACAAGCCACCACCACCGGCCUCCUCUGUGGCGCGAGACGCCUGUCCGCCCGACGCUGGUCGGGGAUGCCAUCCACGCACAAGCUAUGUUGAUUCGUCUAUUCUCAGUUCACUUCUUUGCCAAUGUAAGUGCGAUACAUGGAGACAUUGGACCAAGCAGAUGCAGCAACGGAGAUAAAAAUGGGGACAUGUCAGCCACUUCAAUUUGUUGACAAGCCCCGGAAAUAUCGGCCCUAGGCUGUGCGGGCUGAGCUUGUGAGGAAGCAAGGAGGUCUGGAGCUAUCGAGGGGCUCUUCGACGAGAUGACGAAGGGCGGCGGGCCUCUCCCUAAUAAGUAAACAAUCUGCAGAUGUGUGCCCGACGGUAAUGCUCAUAGUUUUCUUCCAACCACUCUCAUUCAAUAUGGUAAUUUUGCCUAUUUGUUGUCUAAUACGAUCACAAUAUUUUCCUUUUGUCAUUCCUUUCCUUCAUGACGUAGUUAAGAUUGUAUACCAAGCCGGCAUCCUCCAGUGGAUUCACCCCCCUCUAACCAAAGUCUGAAAGUCUGCCUAACUGCAGCCUUUUAAUGUUCUUCAAACAAGGAGGAAACUCGACGACGACGCGGCAUAGCGGAGCGUGCGCGCUCUCCAUACCGGGUGGGUGAAGGGGGCAUCAUGGCACGAGGCCGUGAGCUUUGAGGGUCUCCAAGGUAAUGGCGGACGCGGCGAAGAAGAGGCUUGUUCGGCUGUAUGAGGUGGGGGUUGGUCGCCAAGGUGAAGUUCGCGGUCAACGCCGACACAGGCUCCCCCGUUGCCAUGAAGGUGCUCAGCAUGGCCACUACUAUCCUCAACCGUCGAAUUUUGCAACAGGUAAGCCGCCCCACAACAAGUUUCGUUCGCACAAAUCCAAAUCAAAGUCCUUGUGCUCCCCCUCCCUGUCUCAGCUUUGACCCAAACAAUUUAGUACACAUGUUGUUGUUUUUCUGUAGCCUUCAGUACAAUUUCGUAUGAUUCAUUUGAUAUUCUGAGCGAUUUUGGGUGAGAAAAAAAGUUUGGAAGUUUCAGGUGGAAUAUCCCCGCAGAAGCUGUGUGCAGUAGCUGCCAUCAGAUUGACAAAUUGCUAACAAGGAGCACUUCAAAAUUUCUCUAAAGAAACAGUCUUCUUUGCUCGAUUUGCAUCAAGGAUUUGCUUCAGGAAAGUCUACAUCUUCAUUUCAGUGUGAGCUGACGUCUCAUGCUUCUUGACAGAUCAAAAAGGAAAUAUCUCAAUAAUAAAGAUUGUAAGACGCCUUAACAUCGUCACAAAACAAGGUUUUUGCUGGACAGACAAAAAUAUACACAAUCAUGGCGCUUACCACUGGAGGCGAAUUGUUCAAUAAAAUAUGUUGAGUAGUUAAUCAUUCAUAAUGUAUUUUUAACAAAGUUGGUGCAAAAAAUGUGCAAUUUUAACAGGUUUAUAUGGUGACCAUGCAUGUAUGUCCAUCCAAACAAGCACCAUUUUCCAUAUACGACAUGUAUGGAAAACCUGUGAAGCUCAUAGUUGUUGAAGGAUCUAUCUUGUGGGAGCUGCACAAGGACAACUGGUCCUGCAAAAGGAUAUUCGUUUCUGUUGCUCCUGCUGAUUUUAGCUAGCUAACUGAUGGAAAGUAGAUGUUGUAAGGACCAAUAAAAGAAUAUUAGUUGUUGUUCUCCCCCAUCCCCAUUGUAUAUCCUAAUCCUCUCAUGUACAUAUAAUCUCUUACUGGAAUAAAAGAAAAGUUGUGGGGUGAUUCCCUACAGUA